CGGUAAGGAUCUUUAGUCCACGCCCGUAGUAACCAUGCUGUCCAAGGGCCCGUUGCAGUCCGUGCAGGUCUUCGGACGCAAGAAAACGGCCACAGCCGUGGCGCUCUGCAAACGCGGCAAUGGCCUCAUCAAGGUGAACGCGCGUCCCCUGGAGAUGAUUGAGCCACGCACGCUGCAAUACAAGCUCCUGGAACCCGUUCUGCUUCUGGGCAAAGAGGGGUUUGCUGGUGUGGACAUCCGUGUCCGUGGGAAGGGUGGGGCCAUGUGGCCCAGAUUUAUGCUAUCCGGCAGUCCAUCUCCAAAGCCCUGGUGGCCUGUUACCAGAAAUAUGUGGAUGAGGCUUCCAAGAAGGAGAUCAAAGACAUCCUUAUCCAGUAUGAUCGGACCCUGCUGGUAGCUGACCCCCAUCGCUGCGAAUCCAAAACUUUGGAGGCCCUGGUGCCCAUGCUCGUUACCAGAAAUCUUACCGAUAA